AAAGUUUCAAGUUUUAACGCGUGUGUUUUGAAAAAGUGAUACGUUAUUUUAAUUUAGAAUAAAUGAUUAGUUUUUAUUUCUAUUCAUAAAUCAAAUUGUUUAUGGUUAGAUGUCAGGGCGUAAAAGCAAGAGAAGACAAUUUCUCAAGAGUCUGAUGUAUGCAGAAGGAACCUUCAUCGCCCCCCACUGAGUGUGAUUUAUCCACUCAGAACUCCAACAUGCAGCCGUAGCCUGCCAUACUGAAAAUUCAACUUUGACAGAAGAAGUGAAUACUUUGCUGCUCGACAAAGCCACCCUACAGGACCAAGUAAAGAAGUAAGAAGAGAUGAACCAAACUUUGGUGGGCCAAAAGAUUGAAUCGGUUCAGCAUUAGUAAUCGAUGGAAUGUCUACGCAAAGCAUUUAAGGAGGGAGACGAGUUUAUAGCCAAUGUAGCCAAAUCCUACAAUGAUAUGGGAGAAACACCUUUGCUGGUGGCAAUAAAAAACAGAACUUCCAGAACAGUCAAAUUCUUGGUUAACAAACUGAAAGUUUCUGUCAUCGAAGUUGGUCCAUUUACAUGGGAAAAUGUUGAUUAUACAGAUGUGCCUCCACUGUUUGCUGCUGUUAUAUCUAAUCAGCUACCUAUAAUUAACUUUCUGGUUGACAGCGAACAAUAUAAUCCUCCAGUUGAUUUAUCUCAACAUCCUCUGAUCUUGAGUAGCCAAACCACUAGACUGCAAAAAAUUAGCAUAUUGGAGCUGAUAGGUGCAGCCUAUAUUUUUGUUGGAACCAGGGCUUCGUUUUUGCACGGAUAUUCUUGCUGGAUGCGAGCGUUUCUUUUGCGCCAAUCUACAACUGACGGUGGUUCGAUAAUUCCAAAAAGUCCAUUGCAGCUCUAAAACCGAGGUUGCUACUGGGUGAAAGGGAGAAAUUUUUGUUGCACUCAACUCGUACAUUCGUGGAAUUCAAUGGUAUUUUACGAAGAUCUGCAGACUAGACGGAAGGUUGUCGAUAGGAAGUCGAUGCUUAUUGAUGACUCUAGCACAGAAACACGAUAGGGGACGUAUAGCCUGUAGAAAGCCAUUCAGUAGUGACUGGAACUCGACAUCGGGAUAUACUGCGUGCAUCUCCAAGAAUUUGAUACAUUCCAGAGCAGUUUCACCCUGCUCGUUAAUUUGGUCUUCAUGGUAUCCGGCCUCUAGAAAUGCCUGAACAGUGGUGCUGAAGUGUCGACCGUGAAGUGGGUUCCAUCUUGUAUCAUUCCACGGGAAAAGCGCACACUCUUGUAGGGCCAGUAAUGAAGAGGACUAUUCCGUUUUUCGUCCACGUAGUUGGGAUUUACCCCCAUCUGCAGCAGCAGCUUAAUCAUUUCAAACGUUGAGUCGGGUUUAAUCCGGACGGUACAAGCUUUUAGAAGAAAGUUCGAUUUCUCAUUCUGCCACUGUCCGUAAAGAUAAACAUGUUGUGCAAUUAGUUAAAACACAGUUACUUUUUAUAGAAAUAUCAGUGUUGCAGGCCGAAAGGGACCGGUUGGCGUACCUGCUGAGCGUCGUGGAUGUUAAGUAAACCCUUGCACUACAUUUUUACCUUAAAAUCACAUUAAAGUGCAUUAAGUAUGUAUUUUAAGAAAUUUCAUAGGUAUAGUUACUAUAUAUAUAAUAUAUAUAUAUAAUACAUAUAUUUAUUAUAUAUAGCGCCCCUAGUGACCGAAGGCGAUAUUAACAUUUUCACUCUCGAAGUGUAUAGGGGGUAAACUUCAAGGGAUAGGAAAGGUUUCCUAAUAAAAUAAUUUUUUAUGAAAACAAGAAAUAACGCUGUUAAAUAAAGAACGCCGGAUUUUUUAAGUGCAAAAAAAAUAUUUUUGCGUAGUUUAAAUUAUUUUUUUAUUUAUGAAAAACACAGUUUUAACGUUACGCUUGUGGGGGGGAGCUCGUGUACUUAAUCGAUGAACGAGUGUUUAGGAGCUCGGGGGUUACUCCUAGAAAAAAGUCUAGUGUGAGUGAUUUGUAGCUCUAUGGUUCUACUGAUCAGCAAAAAAAAAAUCUAGCUCUAGCCGUCAAAUAGUUAUUUGAGUUAUUUGAGGGACACACGUAGCACCAUUAGAAUUCAUGGAAAUAGAGGGGGUGUUCUUAUACAUUUGGUGGGUACUGUAAAUAUAUUAUAAAUAUAAUUAUAUAUUGUAUGAUAUAUUAUAUAUAGGCCAUAAAUUAUUAUGUAUAUUAUGGGAAAAAAUUAACUAUUAGUUCAACAUUUAUAUAUAUAUAUAUAUUUGUUUUCUUUGGUACAUAAAAAACAUAUUAAAUAGAUACUUACAGUAUUUAUUAUAUUCGUAAUAUGGCUAUCUUAAUUACAAUUAUUCUGUAUUCGUAUGAGACUUUCCCAAGGUCAUACAAGCCAUGUUAACAGAAGGAAGCAGCUCAAGUUUCCGGAGAAGGUUUGUGUCGAUUUCAACCUCGUAGGCAUUAAUUCGUUCGUCGUGGCUUAUUCAAUUUUUAGCUCGAGCUGAUUUCUGUGUGUUCCCCACUUGUUCCAGGUCUCAAGAAGCAUCUACUGCUUGCAUUUUCGGGUUGGAUCCCGCUGCCUCAAUCAGUUCACCAUGAACUCGCGCUGGAGGUUCCUUGGAUUGUUCUUUGGCUGUGAUCAACACAAACUUCGUCGUUCGAAAGUGAGGUUUUUCCAUCUUCUCUACUUUCCUGGCAUUUCCAUGAGAGUAUUUGGGAUUUACGACCUAAUCUUCUCCAUCGUAAAUGACGAGAAUUUGGUUUGGGUAGUCGGGAUGCUCGUAUGCAUGUUUUAAAAACCCAGUUGUAAAGGAAUCGUUGAGUUUCUUCUCGUGCAAUUCGCAAUUUAAAAUAAUAUAUAAAAUUUUUUAUUUUGUUUACAGUAUUUUUUAACUCGCCGCCACGAGUACCCAUCCAUCCUCCAGUCAUAUUUAUAUUUAUUAUGUCUCCACUUAAUGAUGAAUUUUGCUUCUAUUGAUUUUAAAUAUAUGUCAUUCAUAAUACAA
rnacentral:lncRNA from 1 species